UUACUUCCUGGACUUUGUCAGAGCCUGUGCUUCAGCUGGGACAAUGAUGAUGCUGCCGCUGGACAGGAUUAUGUUCUGGAUGCUAUGGGGACCCCUAGUGGUCGUUUUUAUAAGCCAUGAUUUCUAUAAAUAGGAGAACAUUUUGUCUACCGAACAAAUGUCAGCAAAAAUAUUUGGCAACCUCCAGACGACACAGUCUACUGUCAUCUGAGGAGAAUGAGCCGUGCGUUUAAGAAGGGGGCGGCCAUCUUGCCUGAGCUGUUUUUAACAGCAUUUAGAGGUAUGCUUUACAGCAGGACCCAUGGACAUAGACGACAGUAGACAGGAGCUGUCCAAGUCACGUGAAUUGAAAAACGUUAUUGGGCAUUUGACCUUUUCAGAGGAAUCUCUAUAGGAAUAGAGCCGCUUCCAUCCCUCGCUGUAUUACCGAAGACGCAGUCACUGUUUAGUAAAGGUUUUUAAAGUGUCAUUUGUAUAUACUGUGCUGUUUUUGCAAUAUUGGAAUUUAUGAACGGUAUGUA